rnacentral:lncRNA from 1 species
UCUGUGAGAUGAACGCACACAUCACAAAGAAGUUUGUCUGAAUUAUUCUGUUUAGUUUUUAUGUGAAGAUAUCUCCUUUGCCACCAUAGGCCUCAAAGUGCUCCAAAUGUCCACUUGCAGAUUCUACAAAAAGAGAGUUUCAAAACUGCUCAAUGAAAAGAAAGGUUUAACUCUGUGAGAUGAAUGCACACAUCACAAAGUAG